UACAACGCGAUUGAGUGAACGGAACUACGUCGCAGCGCGUGCCGGACGGAGUAAGCGGUUGUACGGCUGCCACAGCGUAGCAUCAUCACACAAGCGGAGCGGUCAGCGCCACGCUGCGCUUCGAACCCGCCUACCCGAGUUCGAUUCCCGCUCACGGUCAACAGCAGUGACGAUUAUUUGAACCGAUCCUGGACCUCCCCUAGGUCGACUCAGCCUCAAAUGAUGCAUACGGGUUAGAUAGACCUGAGAUGUAUCAAUCCUGUAUCCUCCAAUCUUUGCUGACCAGCCCAUACUUUGCUGACUCGCCUCUACUGGACAUCUGCGAAAAAGAGCUUCAUAGCUCAUCGGAUUCCGACUGUCUAAAUAAAGAUUCUGAUUCUGAUUCCUCGACAGCCUGGCCCAAGGAGCUCACUUUAACCAGUUUUACCUCAUUCAAUUAGUUAAGUCGGAGUCGGAUAUUCAUCUUGGCUCUGAACGUUUAAUGAACGUGAGGUUCACUACUCGGAUAGUGGUGCAACGCAGCGCACAGCAAGGCCGAGACAUAUGUACUUUUAAGUGAACAAGGUGCGUGAUGUCAUUUAUGGACGACCCCCUAUUUGCGGCAGCUGUCAGGAGCUUCAACCUCAAUCCAAAACAGCAAAUGUGGCCUGAGGGCUGAAGAUAAAUGUUGAGGUGAAAAUGUG